UACGUAGGAGGCGAGCGUUGUCCGGAGUUACUGGGCGUAAAGGGUGCGUAGGCGGCCGCGCGCGUGGCGGGUGAAAUCUCUCGGCUUACCCGGGAGGGUGCUUGCCAGACGGCGCGGCUUGAGGGACGGAGAGGGGCGUGGAAUUCCGGGAGGAGCGGUGAAAUGCGUAGAGAUCCGGAGGAACACCGACGGCGUAGGCAGCGCCCUGGCCGUUACCUGACGCUGAUGCACGAAAGCUGGGGGAGCGAACAGG
rnacentral:rRNA from 1 species